CGCAGUAUGGUGUAGGGAUGCACGCGGGGUUUUGCUGUCCUUUGUUCUUUCGGCGUUGAAUCCCCCGAGGUCCUUGUUCGAUUCAAGGUACUGCUC